UUGCGCAAGUGGCGGGUAUUUCAGCAAUGUUCGCAAUCUUUCACUGCGUCGUCAGGCGUAAGCUUUACCUCAACUUCAAGGCCCGGACGACACGUCCAGCCGCUUCGCCCAAUCAGGUGAGCGGUCGCCGCCGAUCCCACCGGAUCGUCACGGCACCCGGGUUCGCACUGCCCAACCAGGCAGGCGAAGAAAAGGCGUUACCAUCGCCAUAAUGACGGACACAAAAAAGGGGAAGGCCUGCAGGCCUUCCC
rnacentral:sRNA from 1 species